rnacentral:rRNA from 1 species
CGCGUAGGCGGCCUGCUAAGUCGAACGUGAAAUCCCCGGGCUCAACCCGGGAACUGCGUCCGAUACUGGUGGGCUUGAAUCCGGGAGAGGGAUGUGGAAUUCCAGGUGUAGCGGUGAAAUGCGUAGAUAUCUGGAGGAACACCGGUGGCGAAGGCGGCAUCCUGGACCGGUAUUGACGCUGAGGCGCGAAAGCCAGGGGAGGCAAACG